CUGAGUCAGGCGCACUGCUGGAGGAGCUCAUGGAGGUGCGUGAGCCACCUGCAGAAACCCCGCAGGGCAGAGCUGCUGGGCCACGCAGCCAGGGCGCCGCAGGGCUUGCUGCCCUGCUCGGGCCUGGCCUUGCUGUGCCCUGGGCGCGGGCUGCAAACACCCUUUCCCACCCUGCAUCCAUGCCCCUGGUCCCCAUUGCCUUGCAGUAUAAGAAGAGGUCUGCGGAGCUGGCAGCUGUUCUCCAAGAGCAGACCAAAAUCCGUCAGGCACUGAAGGAGGAGGUGGAAAUGGAGAUGAAAAACCUCCAGAAGGCACAACGGAGGGCCCAAAAGCGCACUGCGCCCAGGAGGAAGACGGCACGCAGGGAAGAGCACAUGAGUUCCCUGCUGCAGGAGACAGUGGCUGUGCGAUUGGUAAGAGAGAAAGCCCCAGCGGGGCCUUGGGGAGGGAAGGCUCACCUCAGGGCCACCGCAGGGGAUAUGGGCCUCCCUCUGGCUGUGGGGACGAAGGAG
ensembl:lncRNA